AUUGAACGCUGGCGGCAUGCUUUACACAUGCAAGUCGAACGGCAGCGCGGGCUUCGGCCUGGCGGCGAGUGGCGAACGGGUGAGUAAUGCAUCGGAACGUGCCCAGUAGUGGGGGAUAGCCCGGCGAAAGCCGGAUUAAUACCGCAUACGACCUGCGGGUGAAAGCGGGGGACCGAAAGGCCUCGCGCUAUUGGAGCGGCCGGUGUCGGAUUAGCUAGUUGGUGGGGUAAAGGCUUACCAAGGCGACGAUCCGUAGCUGGUCUGAGAGGACGACCAGCCACACUGGGACUGAGACACGGCCCAGACUCCUACGGGAGGCAGCAGUGGGGAAUUUUGGACAAUGGGGGCAACCCUGAUCCAGCCAUGCCGCGUGCGGGAAGAAGGCCUUCGGGUUGUAAACCGCUUUUGUUCGGGAAGAAAUCCUCUGGGCUAAUACCCCGGGGGGAUGACGGUACCGGAAGAAUAAGCACCGGCUAACUACGUG
rnacentral:rRNA from 1 species